AGUCCAAGGUCUACCUUAGGACGCCGCCCUGGAGCCCCAUGCUCUCCAAGAGCUGCCUCUCGCCGGCGGCCUUCAGCAGUGCCUUCACGGAGUUCCGCAACUCGGGGCCGUCCCCCGGACUCCCGAUGGGGCCGCCGCGUACGAGCCCAGAAAGCUCGACUUAGAUAGUGCUCUGCUUCGUCCUCCUGCCCCGUCGACUUCCUCCUCAGCGUCACCUACCUCCCUUGCCUCGUCUCCACCUUUUCUUUGUUCAUCUUUUUCUGUUCUUUCACCUGAAACUGAUCGAUUGUUCUCGAUUGUGUCCCAUUUCGAGCAGGUAAUCAUACUGCUGGCAACAAUCUGUUGGAAUGUCAAUGGGGAGAAAAGAGAAUAUGUACAGGCAUUUGUGGACUGCUGCUGGAUAGCGGAGCAGGGAUGGAGGCUGCACAGGUGGAGCUGCCGUAGGGGGUCCCGCAGUCGAGGACCGACAUACUACUUUUUUCUGUCUACUACUAUCCGCUGAAGUUGCAGAUUCCGAGAAAUCCGAGAAACCCACAGACCCUCGCGCUCCUCCUCUAGAGAUCUUAUCGUGCGUGGCCGGGGAGGAUGCCGACCGAAAGGAAUGGGUCGGUCUCCCGACGGCGA